ensembl:lncRNA
GGUCAUACCAAAUAUUGACUUUUAUGCUGGUUAGAACUGUGCAAACUCUUAUACACUGUAUUCCCACGAAUGUUUGCACAUGUCAACAAACCGUUGCAUCGCUUUCUUAUUUUCCUAGCAGAAGACUUUUGUGCAAUACUGCAGAGGAGACUAAAUCUUUAACCUUGAGCAACUGACAUCUCUCCACUUCAUCUGGGUUGUCCCGGUCAUCUCAUCCAGAGUCUCUGUCAGCCAUCUGCUUACUCUGCACCACCGUCCAGACUCCAAGGACCCAGUCAUCAUCUCCUGCUCUUUGGAACACAGCACUGUGUGAUGAAACCUUUUAAAUACAUAAACAUUGUAUGGUCAAAUAUUUGCAAAAAGGUUUGCUCUUUUGUUUCAAAAGAUGUCUCUGGUAUAUACUGUACAUGUGCAACCAUUUUCACAGACAGAUGCUAUUAUUCCAUAUUAAUAUAUUCACAGUGAUAGGAAUAUGAUGAUGCUUAGCAGGCAUAAUGUUUACAGCGUUUACUAACUUACUUUGUAGUUGGCGUGCUGACAUAUGUCGUAGGUAAAUUAGAACUCUGAUAGCAGUUCAGUUUACAAUGGCCAUAAAAACUUACAAGAAGUAUUUGCAUGAAAAAUGAAUAGACUAGAUCUAGAUAAACUUAUUAUAUUGCAAUUGAGAACUAGCAAUAAACCAAAUCCUCUCCUAAUCUAUAGUCUCAAAUAUACUAACAGCAUUUGAUUUCUGGUUAAAACUUCUGUGUAAUCUGGCCUAACGUUGGUGAUUUUACCUCAACUUCUUGAUCUGAAUGACUUCAGUUGUCUUCAGACUUUGUGACCUAACCACUCUGCCUACCCCCUCCUCCAAGUGCUGCUGACUCAACCUGAAUUACCGGUCCAAUUCAUCCCUCUUGACUCCUACCUUCCUGCAUCUGCUUAAAUGACCCCAUUAACUAAAUACUCAUCUCAAAGUUGGUGCUUAACAAACGUUUUGGUUAAAUAAAACUGAAGCCUGUCCUCCCAUAGAUGCAAUAACCCACACCUUCUUCAAACAUGCAGAUGACAGAAACACACAGUCUGGGGCUGGUCUGGACAAAGUUUACAGGAGGAUGAGGUGGUAUGAGAAAUGAGGGUUUACUCAGGUAUUGUUUCAAAUUAGCCCAACUGCCAGGUGUAUUUAUGGGGCUAUGGAUGGUCUUACUCACCAAGCAUGUGUGCAAAACUAGCAAUGUUGGUUGCACUGCUGAGUCUUCCUUGGUUAAAUAAAA